UCAAGAAUGUACAGCUCCAAACACCUGCUCCUCCACAGAAACAGGGAAAACCAAGCAGAACUGUCAGAAACGAUGUUGUAAAACCUGUUGAAAACCAUCAAGUUGUACAGCAACCAUGUAACUACAAAAUCAAGAAAAACAAUGAAGAACAGGAGAAAAGCCUCGUGGACUUUUUACACGUCCUUGCCCAAAUCCUUCCCUUACUUGAUGGCAGUCUUAAAAACAACAUCCUGAGUUGCCAGUAUGGGCCUCUGCUCAGUGGUUCCAGAGGGAAAAGAGGAGGUCUUACUUGCAAAGUAUUGUGUUGUUACAUUAAAAUCUGUAUUAGGGCUAUCCAGAGGUCUGAAACAAGGCUCUCUUUUUUCUCUAAGUCAGAAAAAAAAAUCAGUUUAAAAAAUUGGCACGAGUUACUUGGGAGUAUUUUAAGGAAACUGAAAGCCAGCAGCCCCCUGGAGAACAGAUUACAGACGACACAUACAAUAGGUCACAUAAAGCCAAGAAUAAAAAGCUAACGUGAGAUUUUGUUUUGUUUUACAAAUUAGGCUAUUAAAAAGCACCCAGGUAUGCUGGCAAAUUGACAAAGCACUCUGUGCAUAACCACGAAAAACACAUUUUCUUAAAGACCCAAGAAGACCCUCAUUUUCAGCACUGGCUGACCUUCAGGCUCAGCUCAGCAGAAAGUGAAGACUGAAGCAAAGUUUUCAACAGUCUGCACAUGUGUUAAAGGAACGCCCCAGCCCAGAGCCAUCCACAAAAACUGGAAGAAUCCGUCAGUUUGUCUUUGUCUCAGUUUUGUCAUAUAGACCUUUGUGACACACAGAUCUAUAUACAAUGGAAACUACAAAUUUCUAAUGAAAGAGCCAUGAAAGAUCACAAAAGAUCUUAAUAAAUAGAAAGACAUUUAAUGUGCAUGAUCAUAAAAUCUCAAUAUUGUCAAGAUAUAAUUUCUCCCCAAUUUGAGUUAUAGGCAAGAGAGUCACAUCAUCUAGGUGAUUGGCCAAACAUAUGUCACAAUCCCUUCCAUUGACAGCUCCCAAAAAAGGAGUUACAUCACCUAGGUGCUCAGCUCUGAGAUGUGUCACAACAUUGCCCAAUACAGGCAGGCCACAGGCGGGAGAGUCACAUUUCCUGGGUGCUUGGCCCAGUGGUAUGUCACAUUUCCUUAUGUAGGAAGGGCACACGUAGCAAGAGAGAGUCACAUUACCUAGGUACUGUGCUAGAGCUAUCAGUCUCUGUGUCGUUCAAUGUGAGAGUUAUGAUCUCUUUAGACAUCCAUGUAACAGAGCCUCAACUCCUUCAUCCUCAGAUGUAAAGGCUAGUGAAGACCAAAUAAGCCUUGAAAGGUAAUUCCCCUAAAAAGGCAGAAUGUCUUAGGCUUUGGCCUCUCCCCUUCAAGCACAAUGAGAUCAUAACCUCUCUUUUGACUUCUCACUAUGCCCAGCACUGGAACAAAGCUCCUGACUCCACACCCUCACCUUUCCACCCUUGUGCCUUCACUGGGCAGACAAGAGAUGAGAAGACCUGAACUCUGGGACAGUCUGGGGAGAAAAGAAUCCAAAAAGGGUUGAGGCGGCAAGGGCUGAGCUCCCACGGGUGCCCCGGCCCAAAGGUGCAGGUCCAGGCUGUUUUCCAGGUGGCAUUCAGUGCAGGUUCUUCAAUGCCACUGGAAGGCAUGAAAAACCCACUGUAGCUGCUGCUGCUUCCUUUUCUUAAGCUGUGAAAAUGCAAACACUUUUUCAAGGUUUUCAGAUAUGCCCAGGUACCCCCAACUGAAAAGGAGGAUAAUGGCAUUGUUCAUCAUGGCUUAUUGUCUUGCCCAGGCAGGAGCCAGCCCCUGACUCGCCAAUCCAGCUGCCCCAGGCUGGAGGUGAUCCUUUCGAGCCUCCUCCCUGCAACUCCACUCCUCUUUUUUCUCUUCCUCAACCACCGGCAUACUUUUGGUCAUCCUCCUUGUUGUCACAAUGGGGGCGUGAUGCCAUAAAGACCUGGGAACCCCAAUGAUCUCAGGUCCCGCAGGGGUCAGGUGAGCAUAUAGGAAGUCCAGAAGGACAGUCAUCUGCCACCUCCAGUUGAAAAAGAACAAAACCCUCGCACUCCAGAAAUGAGUCAAGAACCCAGCGAAGGCCACAGGUCUAGCCCACAACCACCUAGGUAUGUGGGGUCCUCCAAGGCUCACGCUUGUGUCCUGCAGGCUGGAGCCCAUGCGAGGGUCUGCAGUCUUUGUUCCGGAUGGGGAACUACUGCUUCAGCUGGUUACCCAGGUGUCCCCGAUGGGGAAAGGAAGGAAAUGGUGAGAAUCUUCAGCACAACGGAUCACAUCACCCUGGCAGAGACCAGUCCGGCCUGCGCAUGGCACCAGCAGCCGCAGGCUAGAGGCAGUCAUGUCAGGCCUCCUCCAUACAGCAUCUCUCCUGCUUUUUUUUCAAACGGCCCUAAUCACUUAAUUUGGUCAUCUUCCCUGUCACAAUGGGGCACCUGGCGCUAUAGACACUUGGGAAACACACAGAUCUGGGGUCCUACAGUGUCCAGGUGAAGACGCCGGGAGUCAGAGAGGAAAGUCUUUUGAAGCCUCCAAAAGGAAUGCACAGGACCCCACUUGAAGAGGUGGAGUGCCCAGUGGCGGAUACAGGCCCCACACAUCGCAGCAGUAAACAGGGACUCCACGGUGUCCAGCUCUCCAGCCUGGGGUUUCUCAUCACCCAGUGAUUCCAAAAGAAACGAUCUACAAUGGCAUGACUAAGUUCCAGAAACAAAUAAACAAAAUACUGAGGGAAGCCCGUUGGUCACUUUGAUUCUUCAAAGGUGACAAUUGUCCCUCCCUGAAAUCUUGUGAGUGCAUGAACAGGCUAUUCUAAUGUAAAUGAAAUUCACACUAAAACUGAUUGAAAGAUGAUUCUGUUUCCAAGGUACUUUGUAUUCUCAAAUUGCACCUGCUUACCCUGGCCCCCUCAAAAUGGAAGAGUGAUGACUAUUUGUCUUCGUAGCACUGUGGGGACACAGAGCCUUAAAUGGAAGAGUGUCAAAAGCAACAUUCCAUAAAGGGCUGUCACUUCCAAUUUUCAAGCAAGGUUGGAAACCAACCAUGAUGUAUGAAACACUGUUGGCCAAAGUGCACAAUUAGUAAUACAAAAUGAAUAAUAUAAACUAUUGUAAAUAUGUGUGGACAUCGUGGCAAUUUGGACAUCAAAAAACACUGCCAAAUUCAGAAAGAGGAAGCUGUAAACUCAUGGCUGUUAGGAAGCUUAACUUCUGUGUACUAGAACCUAUCAAAAUUAAAUUUCUCCAUGUCAAUCCGUCCAAA
rnacentral:lncRNA from 1 species